UAGGGAAUCUUCGGCAAUGGACGAAAGUCUGACCGAGCAACGCCGCGUGAGUGAAGAAGGUUUUCGGAUCGUAAAACUCUGUUGUUAGAGAAGAACAAGGACGUUAGUAACUGAACGUCCCCUGACGGUAUCUAACCAGAAAGCCACGGCUAACUACGUGCCAGCAGCCGCGGUAAUACGUAGGUGGCAAGCGUUGUCCGGAUUUAUUGGGCGUAAAGCGAGCGCAGGCGGUUUCUUAAGUCUGAUGUGAAAGCCCCCGGCUCAACCGGGGAGGGGUAUUGGAAACUGGGGGACUUGGGUGCAGAAGAGGGGAGUGGAAUUCCAUGUGUAGCGGUGAAAUGCGUAGAAAUAUGGGGGAACACCAGUGGCGAAGGCGGCUCUCUGGUCUGUAACUGACGGUGAGGCUCGAAAGCGGGGGGGGCAAAAAGG
rnacentral:rRNA from 1 species